AGUUUCACUAAUUAAAAAAUAUGUAGAUCCUAAGAUAAAAACUGCAAUUCUAGUUCAUCCCCCUGAUGCUAUGUGUACUAUAGUUCCAAUAAUACAGAGUAAUUUUAAAAGUUCAUGUAUGGAUUUAGUUCUUACAAAAUUAGAAUUGCAAAAUGUCAAAGAUUACUUUAAGCAACAGGAAAUAAUACGAAAUUAUCAUGAAGGCAAAACUAACCAUCGCGGAAUUAACGAAACUCAUUUAUCUUUAUCUAGGAAAUACUUUUGGCCUAAAAUGAAGGAAGCAGUAACUAAAUAUAUUAAUGAGUGUAGCAUAUGUGGUCAAGGGAAAUAUGAUAGAAUUCCAGUAAAUCCAAAAUUUCGAAUCGUAGUUCCUCCUACAAAACCUUUUGAAAUAAUACAUCUCGAUUUACUUAGUAUUGAUUCUCAGAAAUAUCUCACUAUAAUAGAUGCAUUCUCUAAGUAUGCUCAAGCAUAUUGUUUAAAGGACGCAACCGCAAUAAGCGUAGUUCAGGCUCUUUUGACGUUUGGUACACAUCAUGGCUUACCUAUGACUGUCGUAACGGAUCGAGGUCCUGAGUUCACGAACCAAAUAUUCAGUGAAUUUGUAAGGCUUCAUAGAAUAAAUCACCAUAAGUUAUUAGCUCAUGCACCUAACGAAAAUGGUAUGGUAGAACGGCUUCACUCAACUUUAUUAGAACACAUACGUUUACUAAAACUUGAACGACGUGGUGAAUUAAUCAUUAACUUAAUGCCGUAUGCUGUUCUUGCCUAUAAUAGUUCGAUCCACAGUUUUACGAAGUGCAGGCCUCUUGACAUUAUAACCGGUCAUUUAGAUCCCCGCGAUCCUGUAGAUAUCGAUCUAUCAGAAAAUGUCUUACAGCAAUAUAUGCAAGAACAUCGCGAUAGUAUGCACAAAGUAUUCAAAAUUAUUAAUGAAUCGUCUUUGGAACGCCGUACUCAAAUUACAGAAAACAUUAAUAGGAACCGCGAACCCGAAAUACAGUAUUAUCCAGAUCAACAAAUUUUUGUAAGAAAUCCUAGGGCUAGUCGACAAAAGACCGCACCGCGUUUUACGCACGAUACUGUACUGGCUGAUUUACCUAUUCAUAUCUAUACUAAGAAGAAAUAUGGCGCUGUUGCUAAAUCUAGGCUUAAGAGGGUACCUAAAUUGUUACAGAAUCCUUCCUCUGAUCCUGUGCCAGAUUCAAGCAGAAGAUCCCACCCUGACUAGCUUGGAUGACGGACCUGGUAUAUUACCAUUUAAUAUUGGAACUGCUAGAAUUGUCACUCAUUAUCAUUCAUUUUUGCAAAUUAUUAAUUUAAAGGAUAUUCGUGAUAGUAUAACCAUAGUAAAGGAUCAAUUAAAUUCAUUAACGCCUAAUUUGCACGAUAAAUUAUUUUCGCUUUAUAAUUCACAUAUUGAACACUUGCAUUAUAAGAUUAUUAAAUUGUCAAAUCAGUUGGAAACUUUUGAACCCAAUCGCAUAAAGAGAGGUCUCAUAGAUGGUUUAGGUUCAGUUAUAAAAAGUAUUUCUGGUAAUCUAGACUAUACAGAUGCAAUUAAAUAUGAUACCGCAAUUAAAUUAUUACAAAAUAAUGAGAAUAAAUUGGUCACAGAAAUGAAUAAUCAUAUAAGCCUCAGUAAAGAUUGGAUAGAACAACAAUCUGAUAUUUUAAACAACUUAAUUAAAAAUCAGGAAAAAAUUGAAAUAGCUAUAAAUGAUUUAAAGGCCAAUAAUUUAAACGUUACUCUAUACAUAGAUUUAAUUCAACGCGUAGCGAUUUUAUCAGAUAAUAUAGAUGAUAUAUCUGAAGAAUUACAUAGAUUAGAAAAUUUAUUAGGUUUUAUUCGUGCGAAAAGUACGCAUCAUCUUAUGUUCAAUUCAAAUUCUCUAAAAGAAAUGCUAAAUAAAUUACACAAAUUUUAUGGUAAAGAGCAAAUCCCUCAAGUUAAUUAUAGAGAAUAUUUUGAUUUAGUUAAACUAGGCUAUUAUUAUAGUAAUAGGAAUAUAGUUAUAGUUUUUAUGUUCCCGGUUGUCCUUCCUGCUACCUUUGAAUUAUUUAAAUUAUCCAUAGUUCCUAAUAAAGAUAGUAAAGUCCUAAUUCCACCCUAUCCUUUUGUGGCAAUUCACAACGAGGAUUUUAUGUACAUGGAGGCAGAAUGCCCGAAGUCUGGCCUAGGGUAUCUAUGUGAGGACAAGCUGAACCAUCAUCGAUCCAAAAAUGACUGCGUGUAUCACCUUAUUACCACGCAACGAGUCGUCGCAUCUUGUCUCUUCACGCCUGUGGAGCUCGGAGCGCCCGCACUAGAAAAAUUAGACGACGCCCACUACGUCAUCAGUUUCCCCAAGCCAUCAAAAAUCCACUUAUCAUGCUCGCAAGAUCAAUAUGACGUCAUUAAAGGAAGCUACUUAGCCACAAUACCCAAAAACUGCAUUCUUCAAACGGAGGCUUUCAAGAUAGUCAAUCGAGAAGACCAUAUCAAAGGACAGAUAAUGAAAAUUGCAAACCUGCCAGAUUCCAGCCAAUAUAAUACAGAUGAAGAAGUUCUGAAGUUGAAUUCGAUAAAUUUGGAUAAAUUACACGCUAGUAACAGAGCUAUAUCAAUGGAAAUGCCUAUCAGUACUAACAACGGAUACGAGAUUCUCUAUAUGCAGCCUUCCAUAAUACCGAUAUAUGUUAUAUUAAUAACGAGUGCAGUUGCCCUAGUGACAUGGUACGUCGUACGGAGACUGCGUACAUCAAAGCCUAUUACUACGAGUGUUCAUGGUAAUCAAAAAGAAGAAAUAGAACAUCAAUCGGCGGAGGGUGAAAUUUCAGCGAUAUUAACGAGCCUUGCCCGCCAAUAAUCGCUGAACUUCAGGAGGGAGGUGUUAUGUACCUACAUAUAAGAUUAGAGGAUGCAUGGGGCCACCCAAGAAGCUGCACCUGUUAGGAAUUGCGACAUCGCGCACACCUGCGCUUCCAGAGAGUGUUGCGGCAAUCAUCGCCACCGCGACGCUGCAGCUACCCCGCCGAGGAGGACGAGCACUCUUAGUUCUAACAUCGAACGGGAGGGACGUAGGUUAAGUUAGGAGUAAUUUAUUAUGUAAUUUUUUUUACAAUAAAUAAUUUAAAGUAAAUUUCGGUUUUUUUUGCGCCUUCGCGGGCCGGUCGAUAUAAUUGGCGCAGUCUUGUGGAUGAUCCUCGAGAGCCGUCUCUCGGAACGCGAAACUACAAGCAUCGAGAAUUGCCAUUCCAUCGGAGGGACGACGACGGGGACCAAGAACCUACAUCUAUUGGCCGCCGCAACGCGAAGGGUAUCCGAACAUUGAUACUGCAAGAAAGGCCGAAAUGAAAAUCCUAAUCCUUCCUCUGAUCCUGUGCCAGAUUCAAGCAGAAGAUCCCACCCUGACUAGCUUGGAUGACGGACCUGGUAUAUUACCAUUUAAUAUUGGAACUGCUAGAAUUGUCACUCAUUAUCAUUCAUUUUUGCAAAUUAUUAAUUUAAAGGAUAUUCGUGAUAGUAUAACCAUAGUAAAGGAUCAAUUAAAUUCAUUAACGCCUAA